GAUAUUAAAAUUCACCAACACAAAUAUUCAAAAAAUAUAGAAUUACUGGUUCUCAGAGCUAACUUUAGGUGGCAUCAAAACAGACAGCUGCAAUUAAUUGUAUCCAAAACAAAACUCUACUAUAGUUGCAAGCCAGAACAGAAGAUAGUAAUCCAGUGAAUCAUACUGUUGAAUUCUACAACAUAUAAGAUGAUAGCACCGAGGCAGUGUAACAAAUGCAUAAUCACAAGUAGAACUUGAUUCUCGACUAGUUAGAUGCAGGAGUUUUUAACAAGCAUACUACUGUCUGUCCUUUAAUGGAUCAAAACUAAAUUGUCUUGCAUGAGGUGCUGACAAUUUCAAAAUGACAUUAACUCAACUCAACUCAA
rnacentral:misc_RNA from 1 species